GCGGCGUGCCUAAUACAUGCAAGUCGAGCGAACAGAAGGGAGCUUGCUCCCGGAUGUUAGCGGCGGACGGGUGAGUAACACGUGGGUAACCUGCCUGUAAGACUGGGAUAACUCCGGGAAACCGGAGCUAAUACCGGAUAGUUCCUUGAACCGCAUGGUUCAAGGAUGAAAGACGGUUUCGGCUGUCACUUACAGAUGGACCCGCGGCGCAUUAGCUAGUUGGUGGGGUAAUGGCUCACCAAGGCGACGAUGCGUAGCCGACCUGAGAGGGUGAUCGGCCACACUGGGACUGAGACACGGCCCAGACUCCUACGGGAGGCAGCAGUAGGGAAUCUUCCGCAAUGGACGAAAGUCUGACGGAGCAACGCCGCGUGAGUGAUGAAGGUUUUCGGAUCGUAAAGCUCUGUUGUUAGGGAAGAACAAGUGCGAGAGUAACUGCUCGCACCUUGACGGUACCUAACCAGAAAGCCACGGCUAACUACGUGCCAGCAGCCGCGGUAAUACGUAGGUGGCAAGCGUUGUCCGGAAUUAUUGGGCGUAAAGGGCUCGCAGGCGGUUUCUUAAGUCUGAUGUGAAAGCCCCCGGCUCAACCGGGGAGGGUCAUUGGAAACUGGGAAACUUGAGUGCAGAAGAGGAGAGUGGAAUUCCACGUGUAGCGGUGAAAUGCGUAGAGAUGUGGAGGAACACCAGUGGCGAAGGCGACUCUCUGGUCUGUAACUGACGCUGAGGAGCGAAAGCGUGGGGAGCGAACAGGAUUAGAUACCCUGGUAGUCCACGCCGUAAACGAUGAGUGCUAAGUGUUAGGGGGUUUCCGCCCCUUAGUGCUGCAGCUAACGCA
rnacentral:rRNA from 1 species